GGGGAAGCGCCGGAUCCUGGGCUGUGCCCCCCGGUGCCCUGGGCUCUGGGACCUGCGCAGCUGGAAUCGUGCUCCCGGGUCGCGCAGCUCCCU
rnacentral:pre_miRNA from 1 species